GAUGAGCGCUGGCGGCGUGCCUAAUACAUGCAAGUCGAGCGAACAGACGAGGAGCUUGCUCCUCUGACGUUAGCGGCGGACGGGUGAGUAACACGUGGAUAACCUACCUAUAAGACUGGGAUAACUUCGGGAAACCGGAGCUAAUACCGGAUAAUAUAUUGAACCGCAUGGUUCAAUAGUGAAAGACGGUUUUGCUGUCACUUAUAGAUGGAUCCGCGCCGCAUUAGCUAGUUGGUAAGGUAACGGCUUACCAAGGCGACGAUGCGUAGCCGACCUGAGGGGGUGAUCGGCCACACUGGAACUGAGACACGGUCCAGACUCCUACGGGAGGCAGCAGUAGGGAAUCUUCCGCAAUGGGCGAAAGCCUGACGGAGCAACGCCGCGUGAGUGAUGAAGGUCUUCGGAUCGUAAAACUCUGUUAUUAGGGAAGAACAAAUGUGUAAGUAACUAUGCACGUCUUGACGGUACCUAAUCAGAAAGCCACGGCUAACUACGUG
rnacentral:rRNA from 1 species